AGUGAACGCUGGCGGUAGGCCUAACACAUGCAAGUCGAACGGCAGCACAGUAAGAGCUUGCUCUUACGGGUGGCGAGUGGCGGAUGGGUGAGGAAUACAUCGGAAUCUACUUUUUCGUGGGGGAUAACGUAGGGAAACUUACGCUAAUACCGCAUACGACCUACGGGUGAAAGCAGGGGAUCUUCGGACCUUGCGCGAUUGAAUGAGCCGAUGUCGGAUUAGCUAGUUGGCGGGGUAAAGGCCCACCAAGGCGACGAUCCGUAGCUGGUCUGAGAGGAUGAUCAGCCACACUGGAACUGAGACACGGUCCAGACUCCUACGGGAGGCAGCAGUGGGGAAUAUUGGACAAUGGGCGCAAGCCUGAUACAGCCAUACCGCGUGGGUGAAGAAGGCCUUCGGGUUGUAAAGCCCUUUUGUUGGGAAAGAAAAGCAGCAGGUUAAUACCCCGCUGUUCUGACGGUACCCAAAGAAUAAGCACCGGCUAACUUCGUG
rnacentral:rRNA from 1 species